CAAAAAAUAAAAUACAAAUAAAUAGACAGAUACCAUGAUUCUUAACAUAUUCAGUUAAUGAAAUACGCAUGGUACAAUAAAUUCAACAAACAAUGGCAUUUAUUCACUAAAGAGUGAAUUGUGAUGAAAUAAAAACUGACUUUACAAUAUUUAAAAAAAAAAAAAAAAGAAUAAUAUCAACCUAAUUUACAGUGAGUUGUAGGCUACUGAUUUCUGUAACAUUUGCUCCAGGACGCUGUCACAAUAUCAGUGGUAGUAAAACACUUGCUGAUGUCUACUAAAGACGGACCUGUUAGCUGUCAUGAGAGCUUCUUGCUCUAGGGCAAGGGUUUCCAACCCAGUCCUCAGGUACCCCUUAACAGUCCAGGAUUUAGGGAUUACCCUGUUGUGUCUAAAGUGGUUUUUUUUCUAAAACACCUUAGACACAACUGGGUAAUCCCUAAAUCCUGGACUGUUAGGGGAUACUUAAAGACUAGGUUGGGAACCACUGCUCUAGGGGAAAGAAUACUCUGUAUGUGCACAGUAAGAAUCACCGUAAGUAUAAUUACUUCCCACUUAAAAUGUUACUCCAAGUACCAUGACCAUAUCACUGAUUUGAAGUAGUCCUGAUGCAUGGAGUCUGUAUGUGCAUUGUUUCACAGACUCUGCACAUAUAGAGUAGUAGCCGUUUGCUGCCAGGGGUGUAACUCCACCUCCAACUGCAUCAUUAGAGCAUUAUUAAUGUCAAGUCCGUACAUACUGGAUGUCAGUUGUCAACAUAAACAGCAUGCUGGUGACAGACAAGCAAUGGCGGCAUGACCUACCUCUCCAUGCAGAUUAAGGUGAC